rnacentral:rRNA from 1 species
AAAUUGAAGAGUUUGAUCAUGGCUCAGAUUGAACGCUGGCGGUAGGCCUAACACAUGCAAGUCGAACGGUAACAGGAAGCAGCUUGCUGCUUCGCUGACGAGUGGCGGACGGGUGAGUAAUGUCUGGGAAACUGCCUGAUGGAGGGGGAUAACUACUGGAAACGGUAGCUAAUACCGCAUAAUGUCGCAAGACCAAAGAGGGGGACCUUCGGGCCUCUUGCCAUCGGAUGUGCCCAGAUGGGAUUAGCUUGUUGGUGGGGUAACGGCUCACC